AUGGCGAGGGCCCUGCUGCCGCAGCGCGCGCCGCUGCUCCGGCGGCUCCUCAUGGCCGGCGCGCUGGCCGCCUCCUGCACCUGCUUCCUCCUCGUCCUCCAGGCGCAGGCCUCCGUGCCGCCGCGCUACGACGGCUUCGCCUACGGGGUCGGGGCCGCCGCCUGGAAGGACGCCGUCCUCGUCGAGGCCUUCCUCGACCCGCUCUGCCCCGACAGCCGCGACGCCUGGCACCCGCUCCGGCUCGCCGUCGAGCGCUACUCGCCGAUGGUCUCCCUCAUCGUCCAUCCCUUUCCUCUCCCGUACCACACCUAUUCAUACCAUGCCUGCCGUGCACUUCAUAUAGCUAACAAGUUGAAUUCGUCAUCAACCUAUCCGUUGCUGGAGCUGUUCUUCAAGAAUCAGGGAAAAUUCUCCAACCGCGCGACAUCGUCAAUAUCGAGCACUGCUGUGACCGGCGAGAUAUCGAAGAUGGCGGCCCAGGCGGUGGGUAAUUCAGUCUCCGAGUUCCAGUCGGGUUUCAGCGACAUGAGGUCGGACAUGGCAGCGAGGGUUUCUUUCAAGUACGGGUGCACGAGAGGGGUGGCUGGCGCGCCGUUCUUCUUCGUGAACGGCUUCCUCCAGCCCGGAGGCGGGUCGCCCAUCGACUUCAGCACGUGGACCAGCAUCCUGGAGCCCCUCGUCGCGCAUCACGGCCAGACCAUCGAGAUGUUCACUUCGGUGUAA
rnacentral:rRNA from 1 species